GACGAGGGAUCCUAGCGUUGUUCGGAAUCAUUGGGCGUAAAGCGGGUGUAGGUGGCUUUGUAAGUCGGGUGUGAAAGCCUGGGGCUUAACCCCAGAAGUGCAUUCGAUACUGCGAAGCUUGAGUGGUAGAGAGGAUAGUAGAAUUGUUGGUGUAGUGGUGAAAUACGUAGAUAUCAACAGGAAUACCGGAGGCGAAGGCGGCUAUCUGGCUACACACUGACACUCAGACCCGAAAGUGCGGGGAUCAAACAGG
rnacentral:rRNA from 2 species